rnacentral:rRNA from 1 species
UACAGAGGGGCAAGCGUUGUUCGGAAUUACUGGGCGUAAAGGGCGCGUAGGCGGCCUGCUAAGUCGAACGUGAAAUCCCCGGGCUCAACCCGGGAACUGCGUCCGAUACUGGCAGGCUUGAAUCCGGGAGAGGGAUGUGGAAUUCCAGGUGUAGCGGUGAAAUGCGUAGAUAUCAGGAGGAACACCGGUGGUGUAGACGGCUUUCUGGACCGUAACUGACGCUGAGACACGAAAGCGUGGGUAGCAAACAGG